rnacentral:SRP_RNA from 1 species
GCCAGGGCCCUGCGCGGCGGGGGACCUCGAACCGCGCCAGGUCCGGAAGGAAGCAACGCUAAGGGGACACCUCCGGGUGUCGCGGGUCCACCUUGGCCGG